UGCAUACUAGGCAAGCACUGUACCUAAUUAUUUGGCUAUUUUGGCCAAAUACAGUGAGCCACAUCCCUCACUGUAGUUUUGAUUUCUAUUUCUUUAAUGGUUAGUGAUUCUGAGCAUCUUUUCAUAUGUUUCUUGACCAUUUGUGUAUCUUCUUUGGAGAAAUGUCUAUAUAAAAGUCCUUUGUCCAUUUUUGCAUUGUUUGAUUUUUUUUUUUGUUGUAUUUCAGGAGUUCUCUAUAUAUGAUUUGCCAAUAUUUUAUCUCCUUCUUGGGGUUGCCUUUUAACUGUUGUUUUUUAUUUUUGGGGGGGGGAGUGGUUGCUAGGGUUUGAACCCAGAGCCUAGUGCAUUCUAAGCACACACUCCACCACUGAGCUUUACCUCCAGUCUCUUUACUCUGUAUCUUUUAACGUACCUUAAAUUUUUCUUUAGCUGAAUUAUGUGGCACACACCUAUAAUCCCUUCUACUUGGGAGGCUGGCCUGCAUUUAAAUAUGUCAAAGUUAUAACGACAAGGAAAGAUGGAAGUGUUGUAAGUCUGGAAUUACAAUUUUAAGACUGAAAUCAUGUCAAGGUUAAUUUUUUUUUUUAAGUUGCAAACUCUGGAUACUCCUACCAUUUACCACUAAAACAAAAGAAAGCAUCUUUUAGGACAAAGAGCCACAUGAACACCGAAGUACAAACUUACCCAUAAUCUUCCCACCCAAGGGAAAAAAAAUUUUAAAGUUGAGUGCCUGUUAUCCCAUUUACUUGGGAAGUUGAUGCAGGAGGAUCACAAGUUCAAGGCCAGUCUCUGCAGUUCAGAGAGAUACUGCCUCAAAAUAAAAAUAAAAAAUGUUGGGACCACAAAAUGAAUUAUGGUCCUAGAAUUGUCCAGGGACAGAGGUGAUAGCUCUCUUGGGGAUUUCUUUGCACCAGUCGAAGAUUGCCCAGUUGCUAUGAUGAUGUCCUGUUCAAAUGCAG
rnacentral:lncRNA from 1 species